AAUGGGUUGCCAUCCCCUCCUCUAGGGGAUCUUCCCAACCCAGGGAUCAAACCCAUGUCUCUUAGGUCUCCUGCAUUAGCAGGCUGGCUUUAUACGACUAGCGCCAUCUGGGAAGCUUGGGGAAGCCAGGUGCCGUAUCAUGAGAACACUUAUGCAACCUUGAAAAGUGGUACAUGUGGCAAGGAGCUCAGGCUUCCUGUCAAGAGCCAGCAAGGACCUGAGUCCUCCAAUGAACAACUAUAUUAGUGAGUUAUCGUGCAAGCUGACCCUCCAGCCCUGGGCUAGCCUUCAGAUGACUGCGGUCCUGGCCAACACUUCGAUGGCCACUCAUUGGAACUUCUGUGCCAGAACCAGCCAGCUAAGCCACUGCUGGAUUCUUGACCCCCAGAAACCGAGCAGAUUCUUUAUUCUCUGAGCCAUCUGGGAAGCACUGACUUCAGUUGGGGGAAGUUGAUUCUGAGAGAGAUGGGAAUACCAG
ensembl:lncRNA